rnacentral:rRNA from 1 species
UACGUAGGGGCGAGCGUUGUCCGAAGUUACUGGGCGUAAAGCGCGCGUAGGCGGUCUCUUAAGUCCGGGGUGAAAGGUUCAGCGCUCAACGCGAACAGUGCCCUGGAGACUGGGGGACGUUGAGUGUGGGAGGGGCAGGUGGAAUUCCGGGUGUAGCGGUGAAAUGGCGUAGGAUAUCCGGAGGAACACCGAUGGCGAAGGC